rnacentral:rRNA from 1 species
GAUGAACGCUAGCGGCGUGCUUAACACAUGCAAGUCGAGCGAGAAGUUUUGAAAAGAUUCUUCGGAUGAAAUUUAAAAUGGAAAGCGGCGGACGGGUGAGUAACGCGUAGGCAACCUGCCCCAUACAAAGGGAUAGCAUUUGGAAACGAAUAUUAAUACCUUAUGAAACUUAACUAGUGCAUGCUAGGUAGGUCAAAGAUUUAUCGGUAUGGGAUGGGCCUGCGUCUGAUUAGCUAGUUGGUGAGGUAACGGCUCACCAAGGCGACGAUCAGUAGCCGACAUGAGAGGGUGAACGGCCACAUUGGAACUGAGACACGGUCCAAACUCCUACGGGAGGCAGCAGUGGGGAAUAUUGCACAAUGGGGGAAACCCUGAUGCAGCAACGCCGCGUGAACGAUGAAGGCCUUUGGGUCGUAAAGUUCUGUUCUAGGUGAUGAAAACUGACAGUAACCUAGGAGAAAGCCCCGGCUAACUCCGU